UGGGGGAUAUUGCACAAUGGGGGAAAGCCCUGAUGCAGCGACGCCGCGUGAGUGAAGAAGUAUUUCGGUAUGUAAAGCUCUAUCAGCAGGGAAGAAGAUGACAGUACCUGACUAAGAAGCCCCGGCUAACUACGUGCCAGCAGCCGCGGUAAUACGUAGGGGGCAAGCGUUAUCCGGAUUUACUGGGUGUAAAGGGAGCGUAGACGGUUAUGUAAGUCUGGAGUGAAAGCCCGGGGCCCAACCCGGGACUGCUUGAACUGUGUAACUGGAGUACAGGAGGGGCAGGCGGAAUUGCCUGGUGUAGCGGUGAAAUGCGUAGAUAUCAGGAGGAACACCGGCGGCGAAGGCGGCCUGCUGGACUGAAACUGACGUUGAGGCUCGAAAGCGUGGGGAGCAAACAGGAUUAGAUACC
rnacentral:rRNA from 1 species